CUUUGGAAUGUGAAUUCACAAUUAAUUAGAUAGCAAAUCGAAAAUAGUUCUCGUGGAAUUAAAUUGUAUUUUUAAAUCGUUUACGAUCAGCAGGAAAAGGUAUCAGUCAGUUGUGAUAAUAAAUCCAACUCGGUUGAAAAUCAAAAUCCCAGUUCGGAGUGACUUCGGCUACCAAUCAGGUGGAUUUGCAGUCAAAGUAAAGUCGAUCCAGUUCCACGGAAAAGUCGCUGGCAAAAGUAGGGUAGUUGAACCAUACUUCAACACCCAAAUAUAAGGAAUCGAGGAGCAUUGGUACAGUGGGAGAAACCAGUUUAUUUGUAAGUAAGCUAGAUUAAUGAACUAUUGUUGUUUAUUCUAAAUAUUAAAAAUAAAUUACAGUUCAGCAUUGCUGAAAACAAAUCAGCUGCUUCGGAAAAACUUGGUUUCCCUAUCGGGAACACAGCCCAUCUGCUGUAGCAUCGACCACAGAUUCAAUGUGGUAGAAAUAAUCGCGCACUGAGAGUUGGUCACCAUUUUGUUGGCUUGAUCGGAUAACCAUUGCGAGCGAUUUUAAACCAGAAAGAUCCGUUGACUCAUCGAUGAGUAAACGAAGAAACUAGUUCUCAUAAUCUCGGCCAACUCUUUGAGGCUAGCUCUGCCUAUGACGUUGGUUUGUAUAGCUGUAAUUUUUGUUCUUCCCAGUUUCAGGUUUUGUGCAACGAUUGAAUCCUUGAAAAUUCGCUUCGACAAAUCGACAAAACUUUCGACAUCCAUUGCCGAAACAUUAUGCUCUGCUCCCCAUGCACAAAUUUGUA